rnacentral:rRNA from 1 species
GUGCCAGCCGCCGCGGUAAUACGGGGGGUGCAAGCGUUAUUCGGAAUUAUUGGGCGUAAAGGGCGCGUAGGCGGUCUCUUAAGUCAGAUGUGAAAGCCCGGGGCUUAACCCCGGAAGUGCAUUUGAAACUAAGGGACUUGAGUAUGGGAGAGGGAAGUGGAAUUCCUGGUGUAGAGGUGAAAUUCGUAGAUAUCAGGAGGAACACCGGUGGCGAAGGCGACUUCCUGGACCAAUACUGACGCUGAGGUGCGAAGGCGUAGGUAGCAAACAGGAUUAGAAACCCUUGUAGUCC